rnacentral:rRNA from 1 species
UACGGGGGGGUGCGAGCGUUGUCCGGAAUCACUGGGCGUAAAGGGCGCGUAGGUGGUUUGAUAAGGGUGUGGUGAAAGUCCGGAGCUCAACUCCGGAUCUGCCGUGCCGACUGUCAAACUCGAGGGCUGUAGAGCAGACGGAAUUCCGGGUGUAGCGGUGGAAUGCGUAGAGAUCCGGAGGAAGACCGGUGGCGAAGGCGGUCUGCUGGGGCAGUUUCUGACACUGAGGCGCGACAGCGUGGGGGAGCAAAGCAGG